rnacentral:tRNA from 1 species
GGCUCUGUAGUGAAAUUCAUGGUGAGUUGCAAGCUCGUCGAUGUGCAUUGAAAGUGUACCGGAGCCU